GUGAGGAAUUUUCCGCAAUGGGCGCAAGCCUGACGGAGCGACGCCGCGUGAGGGAUGACGGCCUUCGGGUUGUAAACUUCUUUUAUCGGGGAAAAAGGUGAUCGUGCUCAUACCACGGUCAUUUGAUGGUACUCGGUGAAUAAGCCCCGGCUAACUACGUGCCAGCAGCCGCGGUAAUACGUAGGGGGCGAGCGUUGUCCGGAGUUACUGGGCGUAAAGGGCGUGUAGGCGGUUGGGUAAGUCUUGUGUGAAAUGCUCUGGCUCAACCAGAGCGCUGCGCAGGAUACUGCCUGACUGGAAUUCGGAAGGGGUGACUGGAAUUCCCGGUGUAACGGUGAAAUGUGUAGAUAUCGGGAGGAACACCUGUGGCGAAGGCGGGUCACUGGUCCGACAUUGACGCUGAGACGCGAAAGCGUGGGGAGCAAACAGGAUUAGAAACCCCAGUAGUCC
rnacentral:rRNA from 1 species